UACGUAGGGGGCUAGCGUUGCUCGGAAUCACUGGGCGUAAAGGGUGCGUAGGCGGGUCUUUAAGUCAGGGGUGAAAUCCUGGAGCUCAACUCCAGAACUGCCUUUGAUACUGAGGAUCUUGAGUACGGGAGAGGUGAGUGGAACUGCGAGUGUAGAGGUGAAAUUCGUAGAUAUUCGCAAGAACACCAGUGGCGAAGGCGGCUCACUGGCCCGUUACUGACGCUGAGGCACGAAAGCGUGGGGAGCAAACAGG
rnacentral:rRNA from 1 species